AUUGAACGCUGGCGGAAUGCUUUACACAUGCAAGUCGAACGGCAGCACGGGGGCAACCCUGGUGGCGAGUGGCGAACGGGUGAGUAAUACAUCGGAACGUGCCCAGUCGUGGGGGAUAACUACGCGAAAGCGUAGCUAAUACCGCAUACGAACUCAGGUUGAAAGCGGGGGAUCGCAAGACCUCGCGCGAUUGGAGCGGCCGAUGGCAGAUUAGGUAGUUGGUGGGGUAAAGGCUCACCAAGCCGACGAUCUGUAGCUGGUCUGAGAGGACGACCAGCCACACUGGGACUGGGACACGGCCCAGACGCCUACGGGAGGCAGCAGUGGGGAAUUUUGGACAAUGGGCGCAAGCCUGAUCCAGCCAUUCCGCGUGCAGGAUGAAGGCCCUCGGGUUGUAAACUGCUUUUGUACGGAACGAAACGCGCCGGGCUAAUACCCUGGCGUAAUGACGGUACCGUAAGAAUAAGCACCGGCUAACUACGUGCCAGCCGCCGCAGUAAUAC
rnacentral:rRNA from 1 species